rnacentral:rRNA from 1 species
AUUGAACGCUGGCGGCAGGCUUAACACAUGCAAGUCGAGCGAGCGGCGGACGGGUGAGUGAUGUCUGGGAAACUGCCUGAUGUAGGGGGAUAACUACUGGAAACGGUAGCUAAUACCGCAUACCAUCAGAUGUGCCCAGAUGGGAUUAGCUAGUAGGUGGGGUAAUGGCUCACCUAGGCGACGAUCCCUAGCUGGUCUGAGAGGCUGACCGGCAACACUGGGACUGAGACACGGUCCAGACUCCUACGGGAGGCAGCAGUGGGGAAUAUUGCACAAUGGGCGAAAGCCUGAUGCAGCCAUGCCGCGUGUGUGAAGAAGGUCUUCGGGUUGUAAAGCACUUUCAGCGAGGAGGCGUUACUCACAGAGAAAGCACCGGCUAACUCCGUGCCAGCCGCCGCGGUAAUAC